rnacentral:rRNA from 1 species
CAGCGCCACAAGUGGCAACCACGUUUAUUGGGCCUAAAGCAUCCGUAGCCGGCGCUGUAAGUUUUCGGUUAAAUCUGUACGCUCAACGUACAGGCUGCCGGGAAUACUGCAGCGCUAGGGAGUGGGAGAGGUAGACGGUACUCGGUAGGAAGGGGUAAAAUCCUUUGAUCUAUUGAUGACCACCUGUGGCGAAGGCGGUCUACCAGAACACGUCCGACGGUGAGGGAUGAAAGCUGGGGGAGCAAACCGGAUUAGAUACCCGAGUAGUCC